rnacentral:tRNA from 1 species
GCCGGUGGAGCACGGGUGGCCGUGCGGCCGACUUGUAAUCGGCAGGUGCGGGUUCGACUCCCGCCGCCGGCUCCA